rnacentral:rRNA from 1 species
GAGAGAGACAUGCGCGCAUAUCAAUAAGCGGAGGAAAAGAAACUAACAAGGAUUCCCUUAGUAACGGCGAGUGAAGCGGGAAGAGCUCAAAUUUGAAAUCUUCAAGGUCUACCUUGACGAAUUGUAGUUUAAAGAAGUGUUUUCUGUUGAAGUCUUGGUAAAAGUUCUUUGGAAUAGGACAUCAUAGAGGGUGAGAAUCCCGUAUUUGACCAUUAUUUCAGCUUUGUGAUACACUUUCAAAGAGUCGGAUUGUUUGGGAAUGCAGUCCAAAAUGGGUGGUAAAUUUCAUCUAAAGCUAAAUAUUGGCGAGAGACCGAUAGCGAACAAGUACCGUGAGGGAAAGAUGAAAAGAACUUUGAAAAGAGAGUUAAACAGUACGUGAAAUUGUCAAAAGGGAAGCGUUUGACACCAGUGUUGUUUUCUCGAAAAUCAAUUAAAAAUGGCUCGAUUUUGUAUUGUUGAGACCUUAAAAGCUCACUGUACAUUUUUCGUGUCUUUUUUAAUGCACUUUUCGUUUAACAAGUCAACAUCAGUUUCUUUUGUUGUAAAAGGGUCAUUGGAAGGUGGCUUUCUUUUCGGAGAAAGUGUUUAUAGCCUUUGGCCUCUGCAAUCGGAGAGACUGAGGUCUGCAGCGUAGACUCUUCGGGGUUAGAUACAUUUGUGCUAAGUUAUAGCUUUUUAUAGACAACUUGUUGACUAUAAUUAGUCUUGUAGCUUGCUCGCUUAUGCUAUUUUACCUACGCUUAGGAUGUUGAAGUCAUCGUAUCGCGC